rnacentral:rRNA from 1 species
UACGGAGGGUGCAAGCGUUAUCCGGAUUCACUGGGUUUAAAGGGUGCGUAGGCGGGCAGGUAAGUCCGUGGUGAAAUCUCUGAGCUUAACUCAGAAACUGCCAUGGAUACUAUUUGUCUUGAAUGUUGUGGAGGUGGGCGGAACGGGUCAUGUAGCGGUGAAAUGCAUAGAUAUGACCCGGAACACCGAUUGCGAAGGCAGCCCGCUACGCAACGAUUGACGCUGAGGCACGAAAGCGUGGGGAUCAAACAGG